rnacentral:rRNA from 1 species
GACGAACCGUGCGAACGUUAUUCGGAAUCAUUGGGCUUAAAGCGCGUGUAGGCGGGUUCGUGCGUCUGUCGCUGAAAUCCCCCGGCUCAACCGGGGAACGGGCGCGGAUACGACGAGCCUGGAGGGGCAUAGGGAGACCUGGAACUUCCGGUGGAGCGGUGAAAUGCGUUGAGAUCGGAAGGAACGCCCGUGGCGAAAGCGAGGUCCUGGAUGCCUACUGACGCUGAGACGCGAAAGCCAGGGGAGCGAACGGG